ensembl:lncRNA
AUGUUUCUUUCCCAUUUCCAACAUGGCUUUGUUCUCUCGUGUGUUGAUGCAGACAGAACCCCUAGGCUGGAUCCAGUGCUGCGCAUUCCCAAAUCUACCCUUUCAACUGUCACCUCACUGCACCAAAUCUCAGAGAAACACCAAGAACCACCCAGUCUAAUCAGUGAUUCAUGGCGCUUGAAACACACGCUGGGAACAGUAUUUGGCAUCGUGACCAUCAUCCUCAUUAUCACGAUCACACUCGGAGUGGCCUACCACAAAAAGAAAGCAAAAGACCCAGAAUACGGCACAUCUUCUUUUUCCUCGGAUAAAUGUGGAAGAAGCCUCAGCAGUGCACCUGACAUCAUCCCACCACAACAGGAGCCCAACAGCAUCAUCUACACUACUGUGCAUUUUAAGCCCCAUGAAGAAACAUCUCAGCUGUAUGCCAACUUGUGCCUCCACAAUUCAGAAUGUGCACUGAAGUCACAGGAGAGUGUGGAGUACUCUACCAUAGCCAGAAUGGGUGGUAAGAAUUAGAGCUGUCCACUGUCAUGAACAAUAUGUGACAAUAUUGCUUUUAAUAUCUAAUAUUUGAUUUUUAAAUGUUUAAGAAAUGCUUACAUGAUUUGUUUUGGUGCAAGGGCUCAGUUACUUUUGAGACAAGAAAAAUGGUUUGGGGGUUGUUAUGUAUGAAAACAGCCUACAGCGUUCACCCUCAAACUACAGCUGAGAAUCUGCACUUUGAGCAUAUAUUGAUUAUCUAAUUCCAGCUCCAAUGUUCUGUGGUAGACAGUUAAAAUGACUACUGUGUCAACACCCAAAUAUUUAUGGACAUGACUAUACUUAGUUGUCAGUGGUGGACAGUAACUAAGUAAAUGUAAUUAGUUACUGUACUUAAGUAAAGUACAGAUACACAAAAAAAACUACUUAAGUUUCUCCGUUCUCGGCUUUUUCCUUUCAGUCCACUACAUUUCAGAGUCUAAUAUCCGACUUUUUCCUCCUUUUUUUGAGAAAUCUGUCGUUCCUUUUGGUUUCUGUGUGUAUAAAAACGUAACAUGUCAAAAUGGACUUUCACCUGAAAUGAGUUCAUGAAGCCAGUCUGGUUAUAAAAAUGAUAACAGGACAUCAGAGCCAGAAUUCCUCUUUUAGUACUUUUACUUUAUACUUAAGUACAUUUGAAGGUAAAUACUUUAGUACUUUUACUCAAGUGGAGGUCUAAAGGGAGGAACUUCUACUUUUACUGGAGGAAUAUUUUACCCUGGGUAGAUCUACUCAAGUACACGAUUUGUGUACUCCGUCCAGCUCUGUUAGUUGUUGAGCCUUCUGUGGAGCCAUCUGUUAAAUAUAUGUUUUCUACUGACACUGAACAAUGAAUAACGUGUACUUAAUGUUGGCUCUGACUGGAAAUAAAUUGUAUAACUGUUGCACAGUGUUGUAUAUUGUGGAAAUAUUUAUGUUUAUUAUUCAAACCUGACAUGGCCUUUAAAGUGACCUCAUUACAAUGCUGUAGAUGAUUUUUUUCACUGUUCACUGUUGUCAUGGUGAUGGAAAUGACCUCUAUGGGUUAUUUAAUUCUAUAUUUAUAUAGAAAAACGUGAGAAGUAGUGAAAUCUGUUCAUUUACAAUGUGAAUAAAAUUCUAAUGAUCUAAGACAACUGAUGGAGUCUCUCUAGUGUGUGUGUGUGUGUGUGUGUGUGUGUGUGUGUGUGUGUGUGUGCGCGCAUGCC